rnacentral:tRNA from 1 species
GUGGGUGUAGCUUAACGGUUAAAGCGCUUCCCUGUGGAGGAAGAGAUUGCCGGUUCGAAACCGGUCACCUACC